CACAAGUUGAUACUGCAGAGGCUGAAAACAUGCAAUCGUAUGCGUGUAGUAAACAAAACCACGAGUCUGCCUCUUUUAUUCACAUAGAUACAAGCAGAACCUGCAGGAUUCAUAUUUACAAGCUUCCAUCUUCACAAACACAGUGAAAAGGCAACGAAAAGAAGAUUGAUGUUGCGGUUCUUCUGUUCUAGAGGUGUGAAUCUUCAAUUCCUUAUGCAGCCUUGUAAAACAAGCUACUGCGGCAAUGUGUCUUCUUCACAGUUUCCCUUCAGGCUGCCUGAAGGAAUAGUUCAC